AGGCUUUGAUCCUGGCUCAGGAUGAACGCUAGCGGCAGGCUUAAUACAUGCAAGUCGAACGGUAACAGGUCCAGCAAUGGAUGCUGACGAGUGGCGCACGGGUGCGUAACACGUAUGCAACCUACCCACCACCGGGGGAUAACCCUGAGAAAUUAGGGCUAAUACCCCAUGGUAUCAACGAGCGGCAUCGUUUGUUGAUUAAAGAUUAAUCGGUGAUGGAUGGGCAUGCGCCCCAUUAGCUAGUUGGUGAGGUAACGGCUCACCAAGGCCACGAUGGGUAGGGGACCUGAGAGGGUUAUCCCCCACACUGGUACUGAGACACGGACCAGACUCCUACGGGAGGCAGCAGUAAGGAAUAUUGGGCAAUGGUCGAGAGACUGACCCAGCCAUGCCGCGUGCAGGAAGACGGCCCUACGGGUUGUAAACUGCUUUUGCACGGGAAUAAUCGCCCUGACGUGUCGGGGUUUGCAGGUACCGUUGCGAAUAAGCAUCGGCUA
rnacentral:rRNA from 1 species